CGGGUGAGUGGAGUGUAAAAUAGUCAUGUUAGAAAGGUUAGUUUCGAGAGAGAAGGCACAUCAAACAUGGUGUAUGUUGGAUAAUGACAGACAUCGCCAAGGAAACUCCAAGUCGUAACUUGUACUAAGAAGACAGCACUCGCUCGUGGAAAACCAGUGAGACGACCUCAAGCCACAAAAUACAUCAAUCGAGAAAAUAUAUUACAAAGGGCUUGGCAAUUAUACCGAGAAGGAGCCCUAGACAUUGCAGCGUUCCUAGGAUGUUCGAAUCAUUUCCACCGUGCCUUCAACAACAAAUCAUUGCUCCAUAAUGCGCAGCAAGUCGACUACUUUGCUACAAUCCAGGAGCACAUUGUCGUGUCGGUGGUGUCUCCAGAAGUGUCGUGCAUUCAAACGUGUUUAUAUUACGUGAACAUCUCCUCGGGGAAGGGAAAUUCUGGAAGGCAUGUUCAGGAAAAAGUCUCAAGAAUAUUCAUGCAGUUAUCAUAAGUACUCCACAGUUCUCACUUAUCUUGUACUAUUUCUCCCUCAUUCAAUAAACGGAACAAACAUGUA